AUAUAUAUAUAUAUAUAUAUAUAUAUAUAUUUAUUUAUUUAUAUAGUAAUACUAAAUAUAUGACACUAUUUCAAAUAUUGUUUUUAGAUUGCAUCAUAAAUAAAUAGAAAUUUCAUUAUUUCAUUUACAAAUUUAAAACGAUUUUUUUUAAUCUUUGUUGAAUAAUAAUGUAAUAAUAAAAUAAAUAUAUAAAAAAUACAUAUAUAUAUAUAUAUAAUGGAGCUGUACAAAAAAAAAUACAUAUAUACAUAAUGGCCAAAAAUAGCUUUAAGAAAAUAAAUUGAACAAUACCUUCCAAAACUAGUUAAAAUACUCAUUAAUUGUUUACAGAUUUUUUUUUUUGACAACAAAAGCUCCAUAUUUUAUUAAGAAGAAGCCAACCAAGUGGUGUCUAGCACUAGCCAAGUUAGGACCUCAGAGUGUACAUGGGAAAAGCAAAAGCCGCGAGCUCUGGCACCUUUCGCAAGAUGGUCAGCUCGGACAUUCUUAGUACGAGAAACAAACGAUAUGGAGCAAGAAUUAAACUUAGAACGAAGAUCAACAAACUCAUCAAUUUCAGCCAUUAGACUUGGCCAUUCUUCUUCUUCCUCAAUGAGCUUAACCAGUUGCAGGCAAUCUGAUUCAAACGUCAUCGAGUCGUGACCGAGAAGUAAUGAGGAUUUCAUGGCCCAUAGCAGAGUAUUAAACUCAGCAUGUAGGGGGGACAAUACUCGGUUACUAGCAAAUGUACCAAACAUUGGUAUCCCAUCCUCCUUCUCCAUCACGAAGCCACCACCAUACCUAGCAUCAUCAUCUUUCCAAGAUGCAUCGAACCUUCAAAACAGGCGCAUUGAUGGUGAAUCUUGUGCUGCGGGCAGAGGCGUUCCAUCCUCCUCCUCCCGCCUCUCCGGAGUUACGUGCGCCAUGCUCCAGCUAUCCGCUUCCGAGGAAGCAGACUGGAGAAUUUCCAAUGGCGUCAAGUCCUUACCUUCGAAGACCUUGUCGUUUCUAGAUUUCCACAUGAACCAAGUGAUCCAUGGGAUUCUGGCCAAAACAUCGUCCGGCAUGUCCUGUUUUUUUAUUCUGUUCAGAAGGUAAUCGAAGUUACUAUAGAUAGAGGGGCUCGGGAACUCCUCUUGGAGUGAGAGAUGUAGCGCGAGAGCCCAAGUUUGAGUGGCCGGCGGGCACUCAAAAAGCAUGUUUACAGAUUUAGUCACUAUUUUCAAAAGUAUCAUUAAGAUGAUUUGAUCUUUGUAUACAUACUUUCCAAACCAGGCCCCACUGCGUUUACCAAUGCAUUUGUUGAAUAUGCGUAUAUAUAGAAAUUUACAAAAACUGUUUCAUCACAUAUAAUAAUACGACUAAUUCUUGGAUUCAUCUUUUAGAGAAGAAAAAUAAUUUGCACACAAGAGUUGAAGUAUCGAAGUCACUCAUCAAGAAUCAUGAGAUCUGCUUCUAUUUGUUUUUUCGUUUCUUGUGUUCUCAUGUCCUUUAUUCUGAACAAUGUCAUAGGUAAGACAUCUAUUUUUUCUUUACACGUAAAACUUAAAAAAUCCAAGUAUUGCAUAUUGCGAAUAAGUUGUUUCUAGAGAGAAAAGUUAUAAAACAUUUACUAAUUUAAAUUGGUCGCUUUAUCAACAACUAAAUUGUUUCGUGUAGAAUUUGUGUGGUUCCUAUGAAAUAAUAGAUGGGGAAGCUGGAUUUACUACAAUGGGUAACCUAUGUAGCCAGAAAGAUAUAUUUGUCGGUAGAUGUGGCCCUAACGGAGACGAGACGUGCACAAAUGAGUUUGUUAAGAACGGAGGCGACAGGCCUUAUAGUUGCGAGUGUAAUAACUUCGGCAAAGAACAUUUAUGCCGAUGUGAUUUUCCUUGCUAGCUUUUGUUAUAGACAAACAGAAUUUCAAUAAAUAUUGUGGUGUGUAUCUUAAAGCAUUUUGGACAUUAAAGAAAAUGUAACGAAGAAAAUAAAUAUUUCUGUUAGAAAAAAGAAAAAGAAAAUAGUGGCAACACUUAAUAAACCGUAUCUAAAGCUAUCAAGAUUCUGAUCAAAUCAGUUUAUUUUGAAUAAAAUACAAAAUUGUGUUCAACUCGCAAAAGAAAAAUGCGAAUUAGUCUUUGAGUUCUCUCUGUCCCUCUUGAAACAUACAAACACGGUUUUCCGUUGCCUCUCCAACGCCAGCGCUGUGAAAAGGUCCAUGUUUCGUUUCCUUUUUGUUGUUCUUAUGUCACGUACUUCUUUGCAUGGUUUAUAACAUUUAAAAAAUCAGUGUACAGAAAUUGUUUUACUUAUGACCGAUUGGCCGUUUAGGUGAACGGUUAACACCACCUAAACUGUUUUUAGAACAAUUAUGAUCCUAAGAGUCAAUUUAAUUAACUAGGGAGUUAAACAAACUUGGGAAAAUUGUUUUUUUAGGCCAAAAAAUGAUAACUUUUUCCAAAAAAAAAAGAGAUAACUAUGUCCUAUUAGGCUAUUUUUUGUACCAUUUUUUUUCUCAAAUACCCUUUAGUAUUUUUUAAAAUAAAUCAAAUAAAUAGUUUUACAAACAAAAAAAAAGUUCAAAAAAAUAGUAACUACUGAUGAAAUACCUAUAUCAUCUUAUUAGUAUUUUUUCCAGUUCUAAAAAUAUUUAAAUCAUAAUUUCAUAUUUUGUUCUACAAAAAGUAGAAUUGACAUUUUACACAGUAGAAAAUGUAAUCCACUUUUUCAUUGAAUCUAAUAUGUUUAGAAUAUGUGAUAUACAUAAAUAAUAGUAAUCUAAAAAAUAUUUGAAAAACACAUUCCGCACUUAACAUAUCGUUCUGAAAAUUUGUAGAAUCCGGAAUUUACACAUUACUAUAAAUUUAACACCUGAAAAAAAUCAAAAUCUACACAUUACUGUAAAUCUAAAAAUAGUAGAAAUCGAUUUCAAACAUGUUUACUCUGUUCUACAUAUAAUAGAAUACAAAUUCUAUGGAUAAGGAUAAUCAGUUCAAAAAAUAUGGGAAGAAAAUAUUUGAAAAUAUUCAGUUUUAUUAUAUUUAUUAAAUCGUUUUUUUAAAAGAAAAUUAUGAUUUAUAAAAUCAAUUUUUAAAUUAAAAAUUAAAACGCCGAUUUGGAAACUUCUUCUCACGCCAUCUUCUUCUCCCCUUUGUUCUUCAAGGAGAAGAGAAAAAUAGGUUUGAUUGAUUAGAAAUCAGGUUUUAAGAAUUCAGCUCAUGUUUGUUCGGUUCAAAUCAAGUGAAAAUCAAACCGGAUUUAACCGACGAAAAUCAGGAAAUCCAUUUGGAAGACUUACCUAGGCACAUGAUCGAUUGAUCCUGAAGAUGCGACCGAUCGAUCGAAGUGGGAUCGAGCUUCUGCGAUCGACGGACAUGGGCUUGGUCGAUUAGUAUAUUCUCCACAUAUUUUCGUUGUUCUGGAUAUAUUUAUCAGGAUCGACCGGUUCAGAUCGAACGGUUGCUUACAUGAUCGAUUGAUUCCAUUUAAGAAAAAAGAACUUCGAACGUCAGGUUUUUUGGGGGGAUUUUUAAUACUUUUUAAUUAUUUUGGUUAAAAACUAUAUUUAAUAUUUAACAAUUGUUUUAUUAAUUGUAAUUUCAAAUUUUUAGUUGAAAUUAAGGGGAGUAUUGCCAUUUUAAAAAUAUUUUGACUAAUAAGACAUAAAGUAUAUGAGAUUAGCCUAAUAUGACAUAGUUAUCAUUUUUUAGCCUAAAAAAAAAUUUCCCAACAAACUUCAUACUUAGAUAAGUAACCAAUUUUUUUUUUUUUUUUGGGGUGGGGGGUGGGGGGGGGGGGGGGAAUUAAUUUGAUGUAGCAAAUCGGUAUUGAUCAUUACUUUAUAAAUAUUGAGUUAUUCUUGGAUUCACCUCCUAGGGUGAAUCUAUAGGUUCACCAACUAAUAUGAUUUUUAAUGAGUUAUUCUUGGGUUCACCAACCAAUAGAAUUUCAUUAUUUCAAAUUCGAUAUCUUUUAGAAAAGAAAACAAAAUAUUGUCAAGUUAUAUUAUGUUUUUAAAAUAAAAUGGUAAAAAAAUAAAGAAAUAGUAAUUAUAGAAAAAAAAUUUAAAAAAUGAUAUUUUUAAUGUCGUCAGCAAAACACUAAACCCUAAAUCGUAAUCCCUAAACCCUAAAGCAUAAUUUUUAAACCCUUUAUCCUUGGGUAAACCCUAGACCCUUGGAUAAAUCAUAAACUCUAAAUCAAAAACACUAACCCUAAACCCUUGAGUGUUUUAUUGUUUAGUGUUUUUGAUUUAGAGUUUAGGAUUUACCCAGGGGUUUAGGGUUUAGGAUUUAGGAUUUAGGGUUUAAGGAUUAGGAUUUAGGGUUUAUUGUUUUGCUGGUUAAAUUUUUUUUUUGUAAUUACUAUUUUUUUUACUUUUUAUUUUAAAAACAUAAUAUAACUUGACAAUAUUUUGUUAUUGUCAAUUUGAAUUAUGUUUAAAAAAUAAAAAGGUAAAAAAAUAAAUAAAAAAUAGUAGUAGUUAAAUAUAGGAAAAAAUAUCAAUUUUUUAAUUAUAAAUAUCUAUAUUAUGCAGAACAUUCGACCAUAUAUGCCCAAAAAUAAAAUUUAACUGAUUUUAUCAUGUGCAAUUGAUGUAUUUUGGUUUUUGCUAAUAAAUCAGCUCUGGUUGAAUAUAUAUUUUAUGCCAUUUUCUUGACAUAAAUUAACAAUUCAAAGUUUAACAAAACUAGGAUUAUACAUUGCUUGGAGUGAUAGAUACUAGGGGCGGAGGCAGCUUAGUGGGUGGGAGGGGUUCAGCUGACCCCACUUCAUUCACAAAAUAUUUUUUGAUAAAAUUUGUAUGAUUUUUGUAUGGACUCCAUUUAAAAAAUAAAUUUGACCCCACAAAAAUAAUUACAAAACAUUAAAGACAAAAUUUAAUCACCACUAAUAUAUUUUUAUUUUUAAACUUUGGAUUUAUAUUAGUUUUAAUCUUAUUGUUUAUAUAAUUACAAAAAUUUAGUAAAUCACUAAACAUAUUUUGUAAUUUUAAACAUUGUUAAUAAGUUAGUUUAAGCCUAAAUUAUAUUAGAUUUAGACCCAAAUUGUUUAUAAUACAGAGACAUUAAAAAUAAAAAAACUUAAACAAAAAAAUAAGUUAUGAGUGAGCGUCAAGUAUAUUUGUAGUUUUUUUUGGAGUAAUACCUUUGUAGUUUUAUUGUCGUUUAUAUAUUAUGUCUUUGAUUUUUUUCCGAUCCCAAUACAAAAAUUUCUGGCUCCGUCACUGAUGGAUACAGUCUUUCCUCCAACUAUGAAGGAGAUCACGGGAGACGUGUCAACCUUUGCGCAUGGAAUCACACGUGUUUUAAAUUAAGUGAUGUAUAGAUGGCCUUUUCCUACACAUUAAAAAUACAGAGAAACAUAAUUUAACAAAAAAAAGUACGAUAUAAACUGAGUGUAUAUACCUUUUCUCUUUUUCUCAAAAAUUGAAAGUAUAUUUUUUUCUAAAAUUAGAAAACUUCAUUUUCUCGUAAAAAAACUAUGUUAUCUCGCAAAUCCAACAAAUUCAGUUUUCUAUCAAAACCGUGAAAUUACAUUAUGCUGAUGUGUCUGAACAACUAUGGUUUCCCAUCAAAAUUGGAAAAUUAAUUUUUAAUGUCAAAAUCAAAAAUUAUGUUUCUUUCGAAAAAUCGUGAAACUAAGUUUUUCCACCAACUCUUUUGAAAUAUGUUUUCGCCAAAAUAAAAAAAGUUAUUUUUUUUUUCAACAAAACCAUGAAAUUUCAUGAAAAAUCAUAAACUAAGUUUUUCUGUUAAAUCCGUAAAAUUAUGUUUUCCCCGACAAAACAGUAAACUUAUGUUUUCCUGUCAAGACCGUGAAAUUAUGCUUGUGCGCUAAAAUGGUAAAAUUACAUUUUCUCGUAAAAACUACGAAAUAAUUUUUCUCCAUCAAAACUGCAAAUCUACGUUUUCUCAACAAAAAUGUAAAGUUAUGUUUUCUCGUCAAAACCGUGAAAUUAAAUUUUCUCAUCAAAACCAUAAAAUUGUCUUUCCCACCGAAAACAUGAAAUUUUAUUUUUCCCAUCAAAAUCGUGAAAUCAAUUUUUUCGUCAAAAUCAUGAAAUUUUAUUUUCCGCAAAACCGUGAAAUUAUGUUUUCCUCCAAAAUCGUGAAAUUACGUUUUUGUUUUCAUCAAAACCGUAAAAUUUUUAUUCUUGCAAAAACCAUAUUUUCCUAUCAAAACAGUAAAACUAUGUUCUUUUGCUAAAAUCAUGGAAAUAUGUUCUUGGAAGGUCAUGGACAGUCAUUGUCCAUUUAGUCUUGGCCAAUUGGACUAUGGACCAAUUCAUUUUUUUAUCCAAUUGGAUAUUUUUUAAUUGGUGGCCUUCAUAGCCCGUCUAAAAUAAAUUGGACUAGUCUCGCCCAUCGAUGAGCCAACCAGUUGAGAGCUUUUAUUCUUCCUGUAAAACGAGAGAUUGAUGAUUAGUCCAAGAACAUGGUGGUUGUGCAUGUGACUCAACUGUAAGAAAAGAGAGAAGUGUCUCCACCAAAAAAUCAAAGAAAAAUAUAAAAAAUAAGAAAGUGUCUCCGAUGCAUCUCCGUCAGAGCUCCUCAAACUCCGUCUUCAAAGAUAUCUCUACGUAUCCCUCACCAAUAAUUCUGAUGCUAGGCACAAAAAAUUGGCUUUGUUACGGGCGUACCAUAUCAGGUCGGGGUGUCACCUGAUACCACACAAAAAUAUUAAGAUAUACAUUAUUUAUUUCCCACAUUGAAGCGCUUCAUACGAUAGGUAUGUUUCCUCUUUGUACCCAUUUUUGAUGAUAGUUUUUUCUCUAUUUAUUUGUUGAACCCAGUUAAUUAACAUUAAUCAUGCGUCCGUCUGGCCGAAUUGUAUCAAAGCUAAAAUGUUAUACAAUCUCAGACGCACAAAUUAAAGAUCAGAUACAUACCAUGAAAAUUUAAAACAUAGAAACUUGAAAAUCAAACGAGUGUAAUCAAAAGAGAUUAUUUCCAAACCCCUAAUAACUUGAAAAACACAAACAAAAAUGUAGUAAACAUAUUUAUAAUUAUUUUAAUCAUUCACGUUUGAAAGUUGGUAAGAACCAUCGUGCAUUAGAGCAUUGAACGGACAAACAAACAAAUUGAUUCAGUUUUUCAACCUUCUUUGUAUCAAGAUUGAAUAUGAGGAUGUCAUUUUCAUCAUAUGGAUUUACUGAAUCAGAACCAUUAAAGUAGAUCGAGUUUCUCUUGAUUCCUUCAAUGUCCUUGGCAAGCACUGUGAUACCCAACUCCAAAAGAAUGGUCUUGUCUCCCAAAGAAAAAAUUGUUGACAUGAAUCAGAAUUAAGCUGCCAGACUUGAGAAGUAAGCUGCCAGACUUGAGAAGUAAGCUGCUAGACUUGAGUGCCAGACUUGAGACUUGAGUGUCAGAUUUGAGUGCCUAAGAGUGAAAUUCGUGCAACUUCAACUUGAGAGGCAAAUUUAAAUUCAAAUUAGGUUCUGACCUUUGGAGAGAGAGGCUGGACAAGUGGGGAUUAAAAUAACAUGUUGGAGAGAAGAGAGAUGGCUGUUAGGAGCUGUCACUAUCACAUUGGAAGCUCUCCUGCAUCUCAGCCAUCCAAUUCAAAUUAAUUCAGAUCCUCCCAUCCCAACCUUUUAUUUUGAAUCCAGAUCGAUCUCUCUUUGUCUUUUUCCUCUCAUUUGUCUAGUGUGUGUUGGCUAUAAAGAGCGCUCAUUGUAAUCAAUUAUAAUCUAAACUGAAAGAGGGGAGUUCCCCUUUCUUCUUCACCAUUCUCUUCCCUCUUGGUUACUGUCAAUCUCUAUAAUCUCUUGAUACUCGACUCUCUUAUUCUCAACUUAAUUUACUCUUCAUCACUUAUUUCUCUGUUUACUCUGUUCCUCAUUGUCUUUUACUCUCAUAUUAAUCAUCUUUUCUUACAUGGUAUCAGAGCUUUAAACUCCUGAACCUCACAAAAGCUUCCGUAAAUCUAAUUCAUUCUCAGUUCAUCUUCAUCUGAGUCUGGUACAACCUUUUGUCCAGCGGUCCAAAGGUUUUCCAAGAAGGAAGAACCCACAACCAGCUCUAAGGCAAGGUGUAUACAAGUCUCUAAGCCUCAAGAACCCUCAUCAUGCUCAACCAAAACCACUUGAAAGCAAAAGUUUAUGGAGUAGUUUGUCUAGCAAAGGUUCAAAACUACCUUGUACAAGUGGUUCUCUUUCUCUAUCCAAGAAGAGAGCUUCCAAGAAGGUGGCAACUCUCAAGCAUGAAGAAAGGAGGAGACUUUGGUGUGAUGGAUACAAGAAGGAGGUCAUGUACUUAAAGAGAAGGAGUUGAAGUUCAACUCAACAUCUCAGAUCCAACAAAUUGUCAUGACCCAUGUGUAUUGGAGGUUCAAGGAACAAGCUCAGGUUCCUUGGUUGUAAGUUAAACCUCUCCUUUUUGAUAUGAGUUUGGGAAAAUGGUUCUGGUUGUGUUGAGUGGUGUGGUGUGUUUAGUAUACUUGGGACAUGUUCAAGUUGCUAUAGUUGUUGAACCUAGUUCAUGUCUCAAGAUACUUAAGUUGUGUUUGUUGAUUCUGUUUUUAAAUUAUUUCUGAGUUUACCAGCAUGGUUAUGACUAGUUAUUGUUUUAGGUCAAUUGUUUGAGUUGUGUAAGGUCUAGGCGAGUUGUCUAGAACCUGUUUUGUGUCUUGUUGCAUUGCUAGAAGUCUAGGAGAGUUUCCUGGUCUUGUAAUGCAUCUAUAUGUUGUUUCUAGUCUUGUUUGCAUCCAUAUGUUGUUUCUGGUCCUGUGAUGCAUUCAUGAACUACUUGGGAUGAUUAGAUGAGUUAUCUAGUCCAUGUUUUGACAUUUAAUUAAUCAUGUUGUUACUUAAAUGGUCAUUAAAAAUAGCCUAAAUGCAUUGUAAUUGAUGAGUUAUCAUACAUGAGCAUUUAGUGAAUAGUUUGCAUGGAUUUGAACUGAAUGAGUUGUUUAGACUCUAUCUAUUGCAUUUUCUUAAAACAUUGGGAUCAGGAUUGGUGAGUUACCAAGGUCUGAUCCUAGUGUGUGUGGUCUGAUUCUUGCUGGAGUUUGAGUGAUGUUUUAGAUACACAAGUGUUGUUCUCUGUCCAUCAUCAAAUCAAGACAAAGACUAAGACUUUGCCCAUGCUGUUCAGAGCGUACACAGUGUGUAUAUUCCUGACCAUGGAGAGAUUGUUUGUGUGAGGAGUCCAGAUGGUAAUAAGUCGUGGCUGAGAUAGAAUAUGGAUGAGCUUUGAAGAUACUUCAGGAAGGAGUAUUGAUGGAGAGGCAGACUAGUGUUUGAUCAGCCAUCCACCAGGCUGAAUCUCCUCAUGAAUUGCAAGAACCGGUUGACUUAAGCGUAGAACGUUUGGUUGUUGAGCUCCUGGUUCAAAAGACUUACAAGAGGCAGGGGAGAAGAGAUCAAGGGAGGAACCGGUUAGCUUAAGCGCAGCUGUUAGGAUGAUGCGCUCCUGGUUUCAAGACUCAAUGUUGCUCACUUCCAAGCUUGGUCCUUCACUCAUUUUCUCCGGAUCAAGCUUAAAGAGGGGUAAUGGUGAGCAAUCCUGAAGGUCCAAGUCAUCUGUUGCCUCAGUUACCUCUAAAGGCAUUGGAGCAUAGACCAAGGGUGGAUCAGUUGGCUUAAGCGCAGGUGUUUGUACUGUUGUGCUCCUGGUUCAGGUUCAGUAUUGCUCACUUUCCAAGCUUGGUCCUUCACUUAUACUCUCCGGAUCAAGCUUGAGGAGGGGUAAUGGUGAGCAUCAUUUCUGAAGGUUCAAGUCGUCCAUUGGCUCACCAGAGAUCAGAAGUGGAGUUGAAGUGGAGUUCACCAGCCAUCUAGAACCCACUACAAAGAAACAUCAACAUGGACAGCAAGAAACAUCAACAUGGACAGCAACAACUUGGUAUUAGAACAGAUGGCCAUCAUAGACUACUUGACAAGAAAAUCAGGUGGAGCUGAGUGGAAUGCUAUGGAUCAGCCUAAGGCGUGGAGUUAGAACAGUUACCUUCUGGUUGGGAAGCUAUGGAUCAACUACUAUAUAAGCUAUGGAUCAGCUACUAUGUAGAGUUAGAGCAGUUACCUUCAGUUGGAACAAUACCUUCUGGUUGGGAAGCUAUGGAUCAACUACUAUAUGGAGUUAGAAAAGAUACCUUCAGUUGGAAAGUUUUGAAUCAGCCCAUAGCUUGUGUGCUUGUACCUGGUUGAUGAAGUUUAAGGAAGCCAGCAAAUGGUGAUUUACAAUCUGGCCAGAUAUAUGCAAGGACACAAGGAGUAUUCAACUAGAGAUUUUCUUGGCUGAGCAAUCACAUGAUGGUGGCAGAUCAUGGAGUUGCAACGUCCCCCUACAUGUUGAAAGCUUCAAGAGUGACAAGCACAGACUGGUUGAGCAGCAGCUGGUGUGAAGGAUUCAAGUGUUCAGUACUCCUCACCAGCAUUCCAGAAAUGUUACAAGGUACCUAUUGAGCUCAUGAGAAAAGGCAGGCUUGGAUUCAACCCUAAAUGGAAGCAAGAAGCUAGAAGAAAGGGGGAGACAAGCUCUGGUCAUAAGAAGAAGCUCAAAGGUUGUUUUAAGUGUGAAGCAAGGAAGGCAUUGGAGUCUGCUUGCCAUUGAAGUAAGGCCAUGAUCCAGAGUUUAUGAGUCCCUCAACAUCAUCAUAAGGCUCAUAAACUCACUGGCCAAUCCCUAGGCUAAGAGGCUUGUACUCUUUUCCUAAGUGUGGUUUUAUCCCAAAGGGUUUUCUAUGCUUAGGUUUUUAAUGAGGCAAGUACUCUCAGUUCCAAGCUUGCCCAAGGAUCUCCUAUGGUUAAGCUUGAGGAGGAGUGUUGACAUGAAGCAAAAUUAAACUGCUAGACUUGAGAAUUAAGUUGCCAAACUUGAGAAGUAAGCUGCCAGACUUGAGUGCCAGACUUGAGUGCCUAAGAGUGAAAUUCGUGCAACUUCAACUUGAGAGGCAAAUUUAAAUUCAAAUUAGGUUCUGACCUUUGGAGAGAGAGGCUGGACAAGUGGAGAUUAAAAUAACAUGUUGGAGAGAAGAGAGAUGGCUGUUAGGAGUGUCACUAUCACAUUGGAAGCUCUCUUGCAUCUCAGCCAUCCAAUUCAAAUUAAUUCAGAUCUUUCCAUCCCAACCAUUCAUUUUGAAUCCAGAUCUAUCUCUCUUUGUCUUCUUCCUCUCAUUUGUCUAGUGUGUGUGUUGGUUAUAAAGAGCUCUCAUUGUAAUCAAUUAUAACCUAAGCUGAAAGAGGGGAGUUUCCCUUUCUUCUUCACCA